rnacentral:rRNA from 1 species
CAGCAGCCGCGGGAAUACGUAGGUGGCAAGCGUUGUCCGGAAUUAUUGGGCGUAAAGGGCUCGCAGGCGGUUUCUUAAGUCUGAUGUGAAAGCCCCCGGCUCAACCGGGGAGGGUCAUUGGAAACUGGGAAACUUGAGUGCAGAAGAGGAGAGUGGAAUUCCGCGUGUAGCGGUGAAAUGCGUAGAGAUGUGGAGGAACACCAGUGGCGAAGGCGACUCUCUGGUCUGUAACUGACGCUGAGGAGCGAAAGCGUGGGGAGCGAACAGGAUUAGAUACCCCUGUAGUCCCUGUCUCUUAUAC